rnacentral:lncRNA from 1 species
UUGGCAGAAGAUUUAGGACUUGGAGAUGAUCUAAGUUGGACUAUUAUUAGUAACCAACAGAAAGUAGACUUCAUUCAUUGUCUUAUACAUAAACAUCAUGCUUAUCUUUUGAUCAUUAUACUCAUUUUUUGUUGCAUAUUAUAUGUUGAGAUUAAUUCAAUCAAUUAGUGAUUUACUACUACAUGCUGAGCAUAGACAUUGUGCAAAAUAGGUAUAC